GAUGAAGAACGUAGCGAAAUGCGAUAACUAGUGUGAAUUGCAGAUUUCAGUGAAUCAUCGAGUCUUUGAACGCACAUUGCGCCCCCUGGUAUUCCGGGGGGCAUGCCUGUCCGAGCGUCAUUGCUGCCCUCAAGCACGGCUUGUGUGUUGGGCCUCCGUCCUCCUCCCGGGGGACGGGCCCGAAAGGCAGCGGCGGCACCGCGUCCGGUCCUCGAGCGUAUGGGGCUUCGUCACCCGCUCUUGUAGGCCCGGCCGGCGCUUGCCGACACAUCAAUCUUUUUUCCAGGUUGACCUCGGAUCAGGUAGGGAUACCCGCUGAACUUAAGCAUAUCAAUAAGCGGAGGA
rnacentral:misc_RNA from 1 species